GGUCCGGUAGUUCAGUUGGUUAGAAUGCCUGCCUGUCACGCAUGUCACGCAGGAGGUCGCGGGUUCGAGUCCCGUCCGGACCG
rnacentral:tRNA from 1 species